ensembl:lncRNA
GGGCUUUACUCUUCUGUUUUCCUGAAGUGUUUGUCUGCUGUGUGUAACUUACCAAUGGUGGUGCCUUGUGAAUAACCAAUAUAAUAUAGUUUUUCCUGUUCAAUCUUCUUCAUGAUAAAGUUUUUUGCUGCUAGAAGAUCUAACUUGGCCACCUCUUCAAAACUGCAGGUAUUUUAGAUCCAGUUUAGGAGCAAUGGAUAUAGAAGACACCACGUAAGCUUUGCUGGGCUAUUUUCUCCCCUGACAUCAAGAGGAUUCUGACUUCAAGGAGCAUUGGGUUGAACUGUAAAGACCUACCUACAAGUAACAGAGGCUGACCAGGGAAGUGGUAGUGGAGUCACCGUUCUUGAAGGCGUUGAAGAACUGUGGAGACAUGGCACUGAGGGACAGAUUUAUUCCUCUUUCUACCCCCUUACGCUUCAGGAUUAGACCUGGCUCUUCCUGGAACUGAGGUACAGGUUGCAAAUUCAACAUUUCCAGUGACUGGGGUAUUUCUCUUGCUCUUCUGCUGCUUCUCCUGAUCUUUGUACUCAGUGGUGCUGGAUAAGAAUCCCCGGACUCUGCUACCUGUGGGACCUUGGGAAAGAAGAGGAGUGUAGCAAGAUGAGGAGCUACGUGAGGCUCCAGUAACCAUUGAUCCAGCAACAGGAUGUACCAAGCAUAGGUUUAAGUGCUUAGUUUUAGAUGUCGUUGGGUUUCCUACCUGCCUCUGGCAUUACUCCUUAGCUUUGUGUACAUUCAGUUUAUAUGAACCAUCUUCCUCUUGGAUCAUGUUUGGAGGGAAAACAGGCCAUUGUGCUUUCGCCCAUCUGUACAAAACCUAGAGGGUCAGUCUGUGUGGGGAAGUGAAGAGCAUAUGCUGCAGAGUCUGCCUUCUGGCUUUUGAAGAGGAAAGAACCACUCCUAAUUUAUGCAAUGCAAUUUGGAGUUUCAAAUUCAAACAUAUGUUGCCAUACUUCUGCUUUGGAUGAAUGAAGCAAGUCUUCCUUUACCCUCUCCUUGCUUGUGAGGUGUCAGCCACACAGGACUGGAAACCAUGGAAAAUGCUGGGAUAGCAGCUGGAGCCAAACUUGCAGUAGUUCACUGCUAUCACUGACAGCUACAAGCAGGUAACAGGAAAGCAGGGGGUCUUUUCGUGGCAGAAACUGCACAGUGGCUGCAAUAACAUUUCUCUGGCAGUACAAAUUUCACGUGGUGUGUUUGCUUUUGCCUUGCUGGAUAGUUUCUAUCACAUGGUCUGCUAUGGCACCUUUUUUAAAAGAUACGUGUUCCCUGCUGAUGGAGUAACUCUUGUAUGUGCUGCUGUUUCAGGAAAUAGCAAUGUUGUAAUUAGUUGGCUUGAGACAUUCUCAACUGUGGCUGCAGGACACAGAACAAAAUAUGUUUUAUCAU